AUGCUUGCAAUUGGGCCAACGAUUUGCUGCUAUUGCUGUUGAGGAUCUGCUGCCGUUGCUUCUGUUGAGGGCCAGUGAUUUGCUACUGUUGAUAUUGAGGAUCUGCUGCUGUUGCUUCUAUUGAGGGCCAAUGAUCUGCUGUUGUUUCUUCUGUUGAGGAUCUGCUAUCGAAGGGAAGGAGCUACAGUUGAGGAUCUGCUACUGUUGCCAGGGGACAAGCCGGCAAGGAGCACCGAGCCUGGAGGUGGUCACGCAUGAGAGGAGCUCCUGAUCUUCUCCCCUGGCCCCCGGCGAGCUGGACCUUCUGGCGACACGGGGAAGAAGGGAGGUGGUUCUGGGCGAGCUUAAGCUUGCCGGCGAAGUGCUGCUGGGGCCGGCGGCCGGCGAGGUGCCCUCCUGGGGCCGGCAGCGAGGUUCCUGGAUGAGCAGGAAGCUGGGCAGGGAGGAGGAGAUCCUGGGCGGAGGAGAAUCUGGGCGAGGUGGGAAGGGAGGAGAUCCUGGCGAGGAGAAUCUGGGCGAGGUGGGAAGGGAGAAGCUGGGCGGCGAGGUGUGCGGUGAGCCGGCGACGCGCUGGGAGGCGACGCACUUGGCGAAGCGAUCCCGAUGGUUUUUGAAUUUCAAAUUGAUCGAAGGGUAUUGUUGUCCAUUAGCGAUUUUUGGGGCUGUCGGAAAUCUCCUUCCGCGCCUUACAAAAGUGAACGGAGGGAGACGUUCCCGUCGAUGACGAGGUGCCUACGGUGACUUCGUAAAUUUUAAGAUGAUAUGCUGGCUCAGUCUUUCGAAGAUGCUCAUAGAGAUAGGGAUGAAUGUAUGCGUAUGUAUAUAAACACUUGUUGUACUGUAUUAAAAAAUAUUAUCUGUCUUUUAUUACCUACUUAUUUUCGAGCGCACAUAUGUGCAUGAAUCACGACGCGGUUUACUCCAAGCAGAGCAUUUCUGCUCAAUCACAGUGCACGAGGUCUCGGAAAACGCGGCGUGUUCGCUCGACCAGCGCGCGUUGUUUAAUU
rnacentral:lncRNA from 1 species